rnacentral:rRNA from 1 species
GACGAACGCUGGCGGCGUGCCUAACACAUGCAAGUCGAACGGAAAGGCCCUGCUUUUGUGGGGUGCUCGAGUGGCGAACGGGUGAGUAACACGUGAGUAACCUGCCUUUGAGUUUGGGAUAACUUCAGGAAACUGGGGCUAAUACCGGAUAGGAGCUGCUGCUGCAUGGUGGGGGUUGGAAAGUUUCGGCGGGUGGGGUUGGACUCGCGGCUUAUCAGCUUGUUGGUGGGGUAGUGGCUUACCAAGGCCUUGGCGGGUAGCCGGCCUGAGAGGGUGACCGGCGACAUAGGGACUGAGAUACGGCCCAGACGCCAACGGGGGGCAGCAGUGGAAAAUAUUGCACAAUGGGCGGAAGCCUGAUGCAGCAACGCCGCGUGCGGGAUGACUGCCUUCAGGGUGGAAACCGCGUGCGCCUGUGACGAAGCGUGAGUGACGGUAAUGGAUAAAGAAGCACCGGCUAACUACGUG